rnacentral:rRNA from 1 species
GAUGAACGCUAGCGAUAGGCUUAACACAUGCAAGUCGAGGGGCAGCACAAGGUAGCUUGCUAUCUGGGUGGCGACCGGCGCACGGGUGCGUAACGCGUAUGCAACUUGCCCUAUACAGGAGGAUAACCCGUCGAAAGACGGACUAAUACUGCGUAUGCUCACAACUUGGCAUCAAGUGGUGAGGAAAGAAAUUCGGUAUAGGAUAGGCAUGCGUCCCAUUAGCUUGUUGGUGAGGUAACGGCUCACCAAGGCAACGAUGGGCAGGGGAACUGAGAGGUUUAUCCCCCACACUGGUACUGAGACACGGACCAGACUCCUACGGGAGGCAGCAGUGAGGAAUAGUGGUCAAUGGGCGCGAGCCUGAACCAGCCAAGUCGCGUGAAGGAUGACUGUCUUAUGGAUUGUAAACUUCUUUUAUACGGGAAUAACAAGAGUCACGUGUGACUCCCUGCAUGUACCGGAUGAAUAAGCAUCGGCUAACUCCGUG